UGUUCCUCAAUGCUGGGAAUUGAAUUUUUUUUAUAAGCACAUCCUGUUUUCAGUAAUUGGAUAUACCACCAAGGAGUAAAACAAAAGAUGAAACACCCUUCAAAGGAAGACAAAUGGAAUUAAUAUUCCAACCGGGUAAUUACAAUCCACGAGCCUAAAAAACUCUUGUCCUUUCCUUUUCAGUACCAGAUUAUUGUGCAACAUGGCUCUGCUCUGUUACACUUAAAGCCUACUUUCUUACACCAAACACAAGAAUGCUUUUCAAGUUUGGGUUAAAAUAAUUUAUUUUAAUGUUUAGAGGAAUGAGUUCUUUGACUUUUUUGGAAUUUUCUGGCAAAAUACAGCAAAAGAACUAAUUUUUCUCAGUGUUCUUGCUGCUCCUAUCUUAAUUUAAGGUUCAAAUAAUAUGCAUCCUUUACAUGACACAAUGUAACAUGUAAGAUUUAUUUUGCUGAAUAUAAGUGUGGAAUUAAUGUUAAGAAUAUGGACAGGAGUCAUACGAACUUGGUUCAAAUCUUAAUAAUGUCAUUUGUUAGCAGCAUGAAGCACAACCCUGGGAAAGUUACUUAAACAUUCUUAGUUUUUGCCUAUGCACAAUAGUAAUAGUUUUUAUCUUAUUGUACAUAAUAAUAGUAGUUAACCUUUGUGAGCAUUUAAUAUGCAUCAAUCACAGUUCUAAAUCUUUACACAUAUAUUGAGUCAUUACAUGAACCACUUGGAAUAGUUUCUGGUAUAUUCCGAGCACUCAAUAAGUGUUAGCAAUAAUAAUGAUAAUUAUUAGUAUCAGUAGCAAUCCUAAUAAUAGAAACAGAUGUAGUAGAGUUCUUACCUCAUUGUAAUACCGUUUGUUGUUACAGAUUACAAGCCAGGCUCUUAAUCUAAAGGGUGUUUCAAAGGUUCUCUUUCAGUCCUGUUCUGUGUCAAUUCUUAUCUCUGAUAGCUGAAAUUACCGUACUUCCAGAUGUUCUUAUGCAUUAUUGAGGUCUUCUGCAGUAGAUCCUGUAAAUCAAACUAUUGAUGAGAAGAGAGAUGUUGUUUCGUAAGUGGUGAAUACUUCUUUUCUUUUCUUGAUCCUGAUAGAAGUUGCCUUAACUUCCAGUUCCAUCGCUGUGAAAAUACUCCUUCAAGCUUUUCUUACAAUAAGAGGAGGAUGGCUCAUCUCCAAAUGUUGAGCUGAGACACUUGAGUAUGUUCU
rnacentral:lncRNA from 10 species